CCUCAUUCAGCCUGUACCCUUUGUUACUCUGCCUUUUCGUAACUGUCUAGCAGGGCUGAGAUGUCUUAUUAACAUGUGCUAAUGCUACUGAAGCAAAUCUAGACCAGUUGCAUGCACCAUCACAAUAUCUGAGUCACUCCGUGUAGCCAAGGCAGGAGAGCAGCUUCACAAAGCCCACGUGACCACAUCUGCAGUGUGUCAUAAUGCAGCAUAUGCAGCGUGCACCCAGAAAACAGGGAGAACCUGUGCUUCUCAGCUGUCACAGCCACAGGAUAGUCACAGAACAGAACAUCAGGAGACUCUAAAUGAUCAAGAGAAAGCAGAACAGGACUGAUGGCACACUGAAGUGGAAUGAAACAGAUCAUAGAAAUGAAAUGCAUUUCUUACUGACAGAACAGGUUGAAGUUUGUGUGAUAUACAUUAA
rnacentral:lncRNA from 1 species